AUUGAACGCUGGCGGCAUGCCUUACACAUGCAAGUCGAACGGCAGCGCGGGAGCAAUCCUGGCGGCGAGUGGCGAACGGGUGAGUAAUACAUCGGAACGUGCCCAAUCGUGGGGGAUAACGCAGCGAAAGCUGUGCUAAUACCGCAUACGAUCUACGGAUGAAAGCAGGGGAUCGCAAGACCUUGCGCGAAUGGAGCGGCCGAUGGCAGAUUAGGUAGUUGGUGAGGUAAAGGCUCACCAAGCCUUCGAUCUGUAGCUGGUCUGAGAGGACGACCAGCCACACUGGGACUGAGACACGGCCCAGACUCCUACGGGAGGUAGCAGUGGGGAAUUUUGGACAAUGGGCGAAAGCCUGAUCCAGCCAUGCCGCGUGCAGGAUGAAGGCCUUCGAGUUGUAAACUGCUUUUGUACGGAACGAAACGGUCUUUUCUAAUAAAGAAGGCUAAUGACGGUACCGUAAGAAUAAGCACCGGCUAACUACGUG
rnacentral:rRNA from 1 species